GGUCGCGGNGAUUCGAUUGAGUUUGAUCCUGGCUCAGGAUGAACGCUGGCGGCGUGCUUAACACAUGCAAGUCGAACGGAGAUGUUGCAGCAGAAGCGAAUAGCUUGCUAUGAGUGGAAACGGUGGCAUCUUAGUGGCGGACGGGUGAGUAACGCGUGGGCAACCUGCCCUGCACUGGGGGAUAACACUUAGAAAUAGGUGCUAAUACCGCAUAAUAAAAUAUAUUGCAUGAUAUAUUUUUGAAAGCUGCGGCGGUGCAGGAUGGGCCCGCGUCUGAUUAGCCAGUUGGUGGGGUAACGGCCCACCAAAGCGACGAUCAGUAGCCGGCCUGAGAGGGUGGACGGCCACAUUGGGACUGAGACACGGCCCAAACUCCUACGGGAGGCAGCAGUGGGGGAUAUUGGACAAUGGGGGGAACCCUGAUCCAGCGACGCCGCGUGAGUGAAGAAGUAUUUCGGUAUGUAAAGCUCUAUCAGCAGGGAAGAAAAGAAUGACGGUACCUGAAUAAGAAGCCCCGGCUAACUACGUGCCAGCAGCCGCGGUAAUACGUAGGGGGCAAGCGUUAUCCGGAUUUACUGGGUGUAAAGGGAGCGUAGACGGUUACGUAAGUCUGGA
rnacentral:rRNA from 1 species